rnacentral:rRNA from 1 species
UACGUAGGGGGCAAGCGUUGUCCGGAAUCAUUGGGCGUAAAGCGCGUGUAGGCGGUUCAGUAAGUCUGCUGUGAAAGUCCAGGGCUCAACCCUGGGAUGCCGGUGGAUACUGCUGGACUAGAGUGCGGAAGAGGCGAGUGGAAUUCCCGGUGUAGCGGUGAAGUGCGCAGAUAUCGGGAGGAACACCAAUUGCGGAGGCAGCUCGCUGGGACGUUACUGACGCUGAGACGCGAAAGCGUGGGGAGCAAACAGG